UAAGCCCAACACCGCAUGUUCCCACCGACGUACUGGUGAUGAUAGCACGCUGUGAGCACCAUGAGCGGACGGGCUGCAGAGAGGAACAGUUUUGCUAGCCGCUGGUCGCGGUUACUGUUCGACGGUGAUGAAAAGAAUUACGAAUUAUGGGAGGCAAAGUUUUUGGGCCACCUGCGAUUGCAGGAUUUGAAAGACGUUAUCUUAAACGAGCCCACAACCGAGGAAGAAGACGAACUACAGCAAGACGCUGGAAAGAAUGAGGAAGCUGUAGAAGUAUUGAGCCCGGACAUCC